rnacentral:sRNA from 1 species
CCACCCAAUGCGCCGCCAAUACCGGCUUCGGUGGUGCCACCUGCCGAGGCAACGCCGCUGAGCAGGCCGAGAGACAACAACAGAAUCGAGGAGUACUUCAUCAAGAAAGCCUCAUAGGGAUGACGAGGCGAUCCUGAGGCUGGAGAGGGGGGCUGGCAAACGAAAUCCGACGAGUAACACGAGUUGUACACAAUUUUCUAAGUUACUGUUUUCACUGUGAAACUUUAUCGUUUUUCGCUUGUCUGAGUUUACUUGGAACGAGGCCCCGACAGUGAUGUCAGGGCCUUUUUUGUGCCUGUCUGCCGCCGAUUCUGUCAGAGGAUCCGGGCGUUGUCGCUAGCAGGCUGCAGCUGG